UUCAUUCAUUUUUGACUGCGUCGCAACUACUGCAUUUAAUUUUUGCGGUUUUAAGUUCGAAACGCUGGCAAAUGUUAACGAUUUUUUCUCAUCCGGAUAGAAAUCAAACUUCACUUUCUAUCCUUUCGUCAUGGUGAACGGAGCAAAUUGAUUUAUUUCAAUAGUUUUCUAAAUAUAAAGCAACAAAAAAAAAAGCCCCCGUUGGAAGUACAAUGAAGUGGAACCGCCUGUUUGCGACCCGAUUCGAUAAGGCCAAAACGGCCGAUAAGAACCCCAUCGCCUUAUCGGGACAAAAAUUACGCAAGCCUUGCUGCAGCAAAUGUGCAGUGCUGUGUAAAUGUAAAAAUCACCGACGAACGAUGCGGCUAGUUCCUGUCGGACAAUUGAUCGGGGGAAUAUUACCGUAAACAUAAUCAUGUUUGUCAGAAAUAUGAAGAAAUAAAAAAUCUUUAUAUCAGA